GCGAAGUUCAGCAGGAGAGGAGGAUUCCACAGCAGGUGACCCUGUAUUUUUUGGGAAAGGCACCAGUGAGACGGAGGGGAAGAGAACAGAGAUCUUGGACCCAAGUACUUACCUGGCGUGACUUUAAUGUGGCUGUUUCCAUUGGCCAACACCGUCCUACGUCCAGGUUCCAUAUGUAGAAUGAUAGCUGAGGUGAGAUCAAAAUUCACAUCAAAGGCAGAAAAGCAGAGCAGGAGUCAUUCCAGUGGAGCAGCGCAGGACCUGUAGCCAUGUCUGGGAUGUGUGCCCAAGUCUUUGGUUACAUCUGGCACCCAUCAGGCCACUUGCAAGCUGAGAUGAAGAGGCGUGGAGGAACGGAGUGCAGCAGCAAGCAAAGAAAUGCACCAAAAGAUGUCUCUGUGCCUGUUGGUGACAAGGACGGGAGACCAAGGAGAGGGUGAGGACCAAGGAGA
rnacentral:lncRNA from 1 species